rnacentral:misc_RNA from 1 species
GAUGAAGAACGUAGCGAAAUGCGAUAAGUAAUGCGAAUUGCAGAAUUCCGUGAGUCAUCGAAUCUUUGAACGCACAUUGCGCCCUUUGGCAUUCCGAAGGGCAUGCCUGUUCGAGCGUCAUUUAUCAACCCUCAAGCCCGGCUUGCGGUUGGGUCCCGCCGUGGGCGACCACGGCGGACCUGAAAGGUAAUGGCGGUGCCCGUGGGGCCCUGGACGCAGCGAGCUUCUCGGCACGCGUCCCGGCGGUCCCCGGCGGCGUCUCCACCAACCCAACACGCAGAUUGACCUCGGAUCAGGUAGGGAUACCCGCUGAACUUAAGCAUAUCAAUAAGCGGAGGA